rnacentral:rRNA from 1 species
UUGGAGGGCAAGUCUGGUGCCAGCAGCCGCGGUAAUUCCAGCUCCAAUAGCGUAUAUUAAAGUUGUUGCAGUUAAAAAGCUCGUAGUUGAAUUUCGGGAUUCUACCGUUGGUCGGGCUAACAAGUCUGUACUGGUGUGUAGAAUUUCUACCUUCUGGGGAACUAUCAUGUUAUUAAUUUAGCGUGGUGGGAAACCAGGACCUUUACCUUGAAAAAAUUAGAGUGUUCAAAGCAGGCUUACGUCUGAAUACAUUAGCAUGGAAUAAUAGAAUAGGACGGUGGUCCUGUUUUGUUGGUUUCUGAAUCACCGUAAUGAUUAAUAGGGAUAGUUGGGGGCAUUAGUAUUCAAUUGUCAGAGGUGAAAUUCUUGGAUUUAUUGAAGACUAACUUCUGCGAAAGCAUUUGCCAAGGAUGUUUUCAUUAAUCAAGAACGAAAGUUAGGGGAUCGAAGACGAUCAGAUACCGUCGUAGUCUUAACCAUAAACUAUGGCGACUAGGGAUCGGACGAUGUUAAAUUUUAUUGACUCGUUCGGCGCCUUACGGGAAAC